rnacentral:rRNA from 1 species
UACGUAGGUGGCAAGCGUCGUCCGGAUUUAUUGGGCGUAAAGCGAGCGCAGGCGGUUCCUUAAGUCUGUUGUGAAAGCCCCCGGCUCAACCGGGGAGGGUCAUUGGGGACUGGGGAACUUGAGUGCAGAAGAGGAGAGUGGAAUUCCAUGUGUAGCGGUGAAAUGCGUAGAUAUAUGGAGGAACACCAGUGGCGAAGGCGACUCUCUGGACUGUAACUGACGCUGAGGCUCGAAAGCGUGGGGAGCAAACAGG